rnacentral:rRNA from 1 species
AGAGUUUGAUCCUGGCUCAGAACGAACGCUGGCGGCAGGCCUAAUACAUGCAAGUCGAGCGCGCCCUUCGGGGUGAGCGGCGGACGGGUGAGUAACGCGUGGGAAUAUGCCCUUCUCUAAGGAAUAGCCUCGGGAAACUGAGAGUAAUACCUUAUACGCCCUUCGGGGGAAAGAUUUAUCGGAGAAGGAUUAGCCCGCGUUAGAUUAGGUAGUUGGUGGGGUAAUGGCCUACCAAGCCUACGAUCUAUAGCUGGUUUGAGAGGAUGAUCAGCCACACUGGGACUGAGACACGGCCCAGACUCCUACGGGAGGCAGCAGUAGGGAAUCUUAGACAAUGGGGGAAACCCUGAUCUAGCCAUGCCGCGUGUGUGAUGAAGGCCUUAGGGUCGUAAAGCACUUUCGCCAGAGAUGAUAAUGACAGUAUCCGGUAAAGAAACCCCGGCUAACUCCGUGCCAGCAGCCGCGGUAAUACGGAGGGGGUUAGCGUUGUUCGGAAUUACUGGGCGUAAAGCGUACGUAGGCGGAUUAGUAAGUUAGAGGUGAAAUCCCAGGGCUCAACCCUGGAACUGCCUUUAAUACUGCUAGUCUUGAGUUCGAGAGAGGUAAGUGGAAUUCCGAGUGUAGAGGUGAAAUUCGUAGAUAUUCGGAGGAACACCAGUGGCGAAGGCGGCUUACUGGCUCGAUACUGACGCUGAGGUACGAAAGUGUGGGGAGCAAACAGGAUUAGAUACCCUGGUAGUCCACACCGUAACGAUGAAUGCCAG